rnacentral:rRNA from 1 species
UACGGGGGGGGGCAAGCGUUGUUCGGAAUUACUGGGCGUAAAGGGCUUGUAGGCGGCCAACUAAGUCCGACGUGAAAUCCCCAGGCUUAACCUGGGAACUGCGUCGGAUACUGGAUGGCUUGAAUUCGGGAGAGGGAUGCAGAAUUCCAGGUGUAGCGGUGAAAUGCGUAGAUAUCUGGAGGAAUACCGGUGGCGAAGGCGGCAUCCUGGACCGACAUUGACGCUGAGGAGCGAAAGCUAGGGGAGCAAACGGGG